rnacentral:rRNA from 1 species
AGAGUUUGAUCAUGGCUCAGAUUGAACGCUGGCGGCAGGCCUAACACAUGCAAGUCGAACGGUAACAGGAAGUGCUUGCACUUCGCUGACGAGUGGCGGACGGGUGAGUAAUGCUUGGGAACUUGCCUUUGCGAGGGGGAUAACAGUUGGAAACGACUGCUAAUACCGCAUAACGUCUACGGACCAAACGGGGCUUAUGCUCCGGCGCAAAUAGAGGCCCAAGUGAGAUUAGCUUAUUGGUAAGGUAAAGGCUUACCAAGGCAACGAUCUCUAGCUGUUCUGAGAGGAAGAUCAGCCACACUGGAACUGAGACACUGUCCAUACUCCU